UACGAAGGGUGCAAACGUUGCUCGGAAUUAUUGGGCGUAAAGCGCACGUAGGCGGCAUUGCAAGUCGGAUGUGAAAUCCCUCGGCUUAACCAAGGAAGUGCAUCCGAAACUGCAGUGCUUGAGUACUUAAGAGGAUCGCGGAAUUCCCGGUGUAGAGGUGAAAUUCGUAGAUAUCGGGAGGAACACCAGUGGCGAAGGCGGCGAUCUGGGAAGAUACUGACGCUGAUGAGCGAAAGCUAGGGGAGCAAACGGG
rnacentral:rRNA from 1 species